rnacentral:rRNA from 1 species
CCCAAAGUGCUCCAUAUAGGAGCUGUGGUAGGUGCGUAAUGUUCCCUACUAGAAAGGAGAGGGCAAGGCUGGUGCCAGCCGCCGCGGUAAAACCAGCUCUUCAAGUGGUCGGGAUAAUUAUUGGGCUUAGAGUGUCCGUAGCUGGUAAGGUAAGUUCCUGGUAAAAUUGGGCAGCUUAACUGUCCUUAUGCUAGGAAUACUGCUUUACUAGAGGGCGGGAGAGGUCUGAGGUACUACAGGGGUAGGAGUGAAAUCUUAUAAUCCUUGUAGGACCACCAGUGGCGAAGGCGUCAGACUGGAACGCGCCUGACGGUGAGGGACGAAAGCCAGGGGAGCGAACCGGAUUAGAUACCCGGGUAGUCCUGGCCGUAAACGAUGCACACUAGAUGAUGGUGCGGCCAUGAGCCGUAUCAGUGUCGUAGGGAAACCGUUAAGUGUGCCGCCUGGGAAGUACGGUCGCAAGGCUUAAACUUAAAGGAAUUGGCGGGGGAGCACCACAAGGGGUGAAGCCUGCGGUUCAAUUGGACUCAACGCCGGGCAACUUACCAGGGGAGACAGCAGAAUGAAGGUCAGGUUGACGACCUUACCUAACAAGCUGAGAGGAGGUGCAUGGCCGUCGCCAGUUCGUGCUGUGAGGUAUCCUGUUAAGUCAGGCAACGAACGAGACCCGUGCCUUUAUUUGCCAUCAAGAAGUCACGACUUCGUUGGGAACGAUAAAGGGACUGCCGUCGAUAAGACGGAGGAAGGAGCGGGCAAAGGCAGGUCAGUAUGCCCCGAAACCCCUGGGCUACGCGCGGGCUGCAAUGGUGCGAACAAUGGGCUGUGACUCCGACAGGAGAAACCAAUCCCGAAAUCGCAUCUCAGUUGGGAUUGUCAACUGUAACCCGUUGACAUGAAC